CUUUGUGUCCCAGUCUCCCAUUUGGUCCCCUAGGGGAGUGUCCACCAGGUGGGAGACCUGCAUAAAAGCCGGGCAGUUAGCCCCAGUAAAUCAGUUCCUGCUUAACCCUCAAAGUGAAGUGUCGUCUCAUUAUUGGGGGGGAGGAUUUACUGGAUGCUGUUAGAGACUGAUUGCCAGGAGUGUAAGCCGUUUGGGGGCUUUUCCUGUUCGUCUGCUAGCAG